AAAAAAGCUCAAAAUAUUUCAAAUCUUCUUUAGGUACUGUAUGUAAAGAGGAGAACAUUAGUUCAGACCAAAGUUGUACCCUUGUAGAC